rnacentral:rRNA from 1 species
UAGGGAAUCUUCGGCAAUGGACGAAAGUCUGACCGAGCAACGCCGCGUGAGUGAAGAAGGUUUUCGGAUCGUAAAACACUGUUGUUAGAGAAGAACAAGGACGUUAGUAACUGAACGUCCCCUGACGGUAUCUAACCAGAAAGCCACGGCUAACUACGUGCCAGCAGCCGCGGUAAUACGUAGGUGGCAAGCGUUGUCCGGAUUUAUUGGGCGUAAAGCGAGCGCAGGCGGUUUCUUAAGUCUGAUGUGAAAGCCCCCGGCUCAACCGGGGAGGGUCAUUGGAAACUGGGAGACUUGAGUGCAGAAGAGGAGAGUGGAAUUCCAUGUGUAGCGGUGAAAUGCGUAGAUAUAUGGAGGAACACCAGUGGCGAAGGCGGCUCUCUGGACUGUAACUGACGCUGAGGCUCGAAAGCGUGGGGAGCAAACAGG